rnacentral:rRNA from 1 species
UACAGAGACUGCAAGCGUUAUUCGGAUUCACUGGGCGUAAAGGGUGCGCAGGCGGCCAAGUGUGUCAGGUGUGAAAUCCCGAGGCUUAACCUCGGAACUGCGCCUGAAACUACUUGGCUAGAGUACUGGAGAGGGUAACGGAAUUCACGGUGUAGCAGUGAAAUGCGCAGAUAUCAGGAAGAACACCCGUGGCUAAGGCGGCUCUCUAGUACGGUACUGACGCUGAGACGCGAAAGCGUGGGGAGCGAACAGG